CUGUUCCCGCCUCUCCAGUUAAGGCCGCCGGUGUGAGCCCGGGCUCGGCGCGAGCGAGGGACGACGGAAGGGACUGGCAGGUGUGGACGCGGGGCCACGCAGCCCGACGGCGGGAGUCGCAGGUGCUGAGUGCAUGGGCCAGUGAGGACGCACGGAGCUCCCCUCGCCGCGCAGAGGAGGAGCAGCGCGGGAGCCAGGCGCUGCCCCACGACCCUGCGUCCGAGCGAGCGGAACCUCGCGCUUCGCCCGGGGACAGUCCGAAGUCCGCGCUAUGGAAGAGGAGAAAUAUUUGCCUGAGCUGAUGGCAGAGAAAGAUAGCCUGGAUCCAUCUUUUGUGCAUGCAUCGCGCCUUUUGGCAGAAGAAAUUGAAAAAUUUCAAGGUUCUGAUGGAAAAAAGGAAGACGAAGAAAAGAAGUAUCUUGAUGUCAUCAGCAACAAAAACAUAAAGCUCUCAGAAAGAGUACUGAUUCCUGUCAAGCAGUAUCCAAAGUUCAAUUUUGUGGGGAAAUUGCUUGGACCAAGAGGAAACUCCUUGAAGAGGCUACAGGAAGAAACAGGUGCUAAAAUGUCUAUCCUGGGCAAAGGAUCAAUGAGAGAUAAAGCCAAGGAAGAAGAACUAAGGAAGAGUGGGGAAGCCAAAUAUGCCCACUUGAGUGAUGAGCUUCAUGUAUUAAUUGAAGUGUUUGCUCCACCUGGGGAAGCUUAUUCACGUAUGAGUCAUGCAUUGGAAGAGAUUAAAAAAUUCCUGGUUCCUGACUACAAUGAUGAAAUUCGUCAGGAACAACUACGUGAAUUAUCUUACUUAAAUGGCUCAGAGGACUCUGGUCGUGGCCGAGGUAUUAGAGGCAGAGGGAUCAGAAUAGCUCCCACAGCUCCUUCAAGGGGCCGUGGGGGUGCCAUUCCUCCUCCCCCACCACCUGGACGAGGUGUUCUCACCCCUCGAGGAAGCACUGUAACCCGUGGAGCCCUUCCAGUGCCACCUGUAGCAAGAGGUGUCCCUACCCCUCGAGCCCGGGGGGCACCAACAGUGCCAGGAUACAGGGCGCCUCCUCCUCCAGCCCAUGAAGCUUAUGAAGAAUACGGUUAUGAUGAUGGCUACGGGGGUGAAUAUGAUGACCAGACCUAUGAAGCUUAUGAUAACAGCUAUGCGACCCAAACACAAAGUGUGCCUGAAUACUAUGACUACGGUCAUGGAGUAAGUGAGGAUGCCUAUGACAGCUACGCACCAGAAGAAUGGGCCACAACCCGCUCUAGCUUGAAGGCACCACCGCCGAGGUCAGCAAGAGGGGGAUACAGGGAACACCCCUAUGGUAGAUAUUGAAGGUCCUUCCCACCUGUGACCUCACCUCAAAGACAGUUCAUAGCCUGUGGUCUCCACAUAAACAGCAACAAGACAAGUACCCACAAGCAAAGAACACGUAAUUGAAUAAUGGAUAUGAUUUGCUAAGAAGGAUGGAGGUGAAGAUGUAUGGUACAAAAAUGAAAAGCUGGAAUAAAUCCAAGACUGGCUGUUUGGAGGUUUCAUUUUUUAACAGCGGAGGUGAGUCCUUUCAUCCGUUUGUGAUUUCAUUUAUGAACUCUGCUUACAACACAGGUAUAGAACACUUCAUUAUGGGCCCAAACAUAUAUGUUUAAAUGGAUAAAGUAGCUGUUACAUCAGAUGGAGGCUAAGUGGGGACAUUAAAUUAAUGUCAAACAAGGAGAAACUCUUUUAGUUUUAUUCUACAUUGUAGCAGCAUAGUGAUAAUGUGCUGAUUUUCAUAUGCACACAAUUUCUGUAUGUCUUAUAUCACCAGAACGUGAGGUUAUGAAUUCCUGUAUUACAAAGUAAAAAUAAAAGCAAUAAUAAACUAAUAAGGAAAUAUAUUUUGUUCAGAGAAUGUGAUGAAUGUUCGCACUGUUUUUCAUAAUGAGGAGGAUGGGGGACAAAAAGUUUCUGUGAAGAAAUGUCAUCCACCAUACAUGAUGGCUUUUUAUUGAGUCUUUGUCUAAAGUGUUACUGUAGUCAUCCUGCCAAGUAUCACCUUUUUUCAUUAGAGGAGAAGUUCAAUUUCACGGGAUAGGGCCAAGAUAUAGGGACUUCCAAAAAAUCUUCGUAGAAUGAAAUGUGAUGGAAUGGAGUAGGGUAGAACAGAACCCAGUAGAAUAGGACUGCAAUUAUUUGUUCCUCCCUUUAAUUCUAAUUUGUUCUAAAACACAAGGAGAAAUAAAUGUGUGGCUGGAUGGUCAGCGAUAUAGAUGAUUUGGAAGAUAAGCUUCCAUUUUCUUCCUUAUAUAUUCUUGUAUUUUAAAACAGGGAGUGUAAAUUACAGUUAUGUUUGCUGAACGAGAUAGGAAAUUGUGUAAGAUACAUUUCAGAAAUUUUUUUCUUAAAAGAACUUAAGUAAUUUUUUUUUAAUGAAGAUACAUUUCCCAGGACUUGAUAUUCAGAAAGACCUUAGGGAAGAGUUGAGAACGGUUAUGGAUACUAUAGAAACACUGUGCCUCCUUCUAUUUUAUCUCAGAGCAGUUUGGAGGAAAACAGAAUCUUAUCUUUAUGACCGUCUUGAAUCUGAUCCAUACUUAACAUCUUUCCCAAUUCUUUUCAGAGUUCCAUGUAAAUUCUCCCAUACAAUGUAACACUGUCUUUGGAAUUCACUGUCAGUUACAAACUACACUGUAGAUAAAGUGGCCACCGUAGAUAAAGUCCCGGUUUAUGCCUGUUGUUUUAGGAUCAUUAUCAUUAGCACUACCUUUUACCCUCAGACGUGUCCCAGUAGGGAUGACAAAUUAUGGUAGCCUUAUCUAUAACUAAUAAUAGCAUGUCAAUAAUGAUAACCAAUAGCCCUACUGGAAGCUUGCUAUUUGUCAGAGACUUUGAGUGCUUUCAUGUAUAAUGAAUUCUUCAUAAUAACCCAAUGAGGCAAGUAUUUUAUUUCCCCCAUUUUACAGUAGAAGAAACAAAGAGUUAGAGAGGUUAACUAGCAUGACCUGCUCACAUAAUAGGCCCAACCUUAAAUCAGACAAAGAUCUGACUUUAUAACAUCAUGUGCCAGAAGAUGGUUAUGCUAUCUUCUUAUUUGCUUGCUGAUAGAAUUAGCUUUGCUUUUUUUAAUAUACUCAAAGAUUAUCAAUAGUUUUCAUUUACUAUUCUUCCUAGAUUCUACAACUAUAUUUUUAUAAGGACUGUGGAUUUUAAGAUGCAAGAAAAGAGCACUGAAGUGAACUAAAAUUCAUCUGGGUUUUAGUUCAGGAUAUUAAUUUUACUAUAUUAAUAAAAAUAACUGUGAUUUGUUGAAUGACUAGUAUACGCAAGAUUGGGACUUUCCCUUUGUUGUAUCACUGACGCCAAAAACAGCAGUGCAAGGCAGAACAUUUGAACCCCAUGAAUGUGUAUGAUUGCUUUAGCUGUUAGCCCUAAAUUGGUUCAUAGGUUACAAUGAAGCUUGGGGCAUUAAAUAGUUUCAGCAGGCCUCUCCAAGCUCUGACAUUCUUAUCCCUAGCUGCCUCUAGGAGUACUUGAUUAUCAGGAUAUAAGAUACAGAAUCUGGAUGCAAGGAAAAAUUCUUGGGGACAAAGGGACUUCCUCAGCACCUCAUGUUUAUAUUAACUACUGUGCAUUGAGUGCUUAAUAAGGGCAUGUACUUUACAUAUUUUUGUAAACAUAUUUUCUUCUAUUUUCCUCCUUACCAUAGGUCAAAAAAGAAGAUAAUUUGGAUUUGAACCAAUGUAAGUUUAGCUUCACUAUGCUAGAGAGAUCAUCUAUCUCUGAAACUCUCUGUAGAUUACCAUCAUUCAGGAACUUUUCUGAAAAGCAGUAUUAAAGAUGAAUAAAUAAUAUUUACUGAUAAUCAAAUUUGUUCCACAACUGUAUAAAGAAUAUAAAAACAGAUAUAAUAGUGUAUAGAGAUUGUUGAAAUUCCUUGUCAUAUUUUCAAAUAAAAAGUGUGGAAAUUUUUACUAGUGCAGAGUAAGUUCUGUAUGCUGCAAAGAACAAGGUAAAUGUAAAUCUGUGCCUAUACUCAAAAGAUGAUUACAAUUCACUUGGGAAUACAAGAAUGUAAAUCCACAAAUGUGGAUUGUGUACUAUUAUAAAAUGCCAAAUUGUAUAGUGUUAUUUGAACAGUGGUUCUUAACCACAUAUGCAUAUCAGCAUGAUGCAUGGUGUGUUUUAAAACUACAGAUGUCAGGACCCUACUGCAUUGACUAAGUAAGUUUUUGAGGUUAGAACCUGGAAAUAUGUGUUUUUAAAAUUCCAUGGAUGAUUUUGAGGUGUACUAUGGAUAACAACCACUGGAUUAAAAUAUAUGUGUAACAUAUUAAUGUGUUAAUUAUGCAGAUUUUAAGAGUUAAUUUUGGCUGGGAUAUAAAAAGAUGGCUUUGUAGAAGAGACAGGAUUUGAAUGCAAGGUCAGAUGUGGACAGAAGCACCAGUCAAGCCAGGGUUCUUUUGCUUUUUGGUUGUUGUUGUGGAAACGAUGUCAGAUGUUCAUAUUUUCCCAGUGGAAUUUUACAAUACUUUUGGAAACAGUUUCGUAGGGUGAAAAUAAGAAGAAAGAAUGAAAACAAAACACAGAUGGGAAAAAAGUACGAUUUUCUUCAUCUCAACUCGCCUCACCACUACAGAUCCAAGCCUGACACAGAGCCUAACAGAAAGAGAAAAUCUUGGAAACAAGAGACCAAUACAGAAGUUAUUUAAGUAAUCCAUAGGAAAAUGGAGGUGCAUCUCUGACAAUGGAGGGAAGAGCUUAAUGGUGAUUGAAAACUGAGAAGGCAGAGCACUUCUUUGGAGGUUGUGUUCCCAUAGCAUGCACAAGAAUAUGACUUAGGUUUUAUGCUUUUUUGGGGGUGGUUUUGAGCGUGCUAACAGAUAACCAAGGUUAGAGGCUUCAGAUCAAUGGAAGGAGUAAUAAAGAGGAGUUUGUCUAAGAAAGUGGCGACAAAACUGAAAGACUGUAAGUCUGAAGUUCAAAUCACCAAUUCAUAUGUUUUCUGCCUUUGAAUGCCAUCUUUCUUUAUUGUUUGCUACUUGGCCAUGUCCAAAAUUUCUUACCUGAUCUCUGGUAUGUCUAUUCAAGAAAGGUUUUCAUCACAUCAUUUUUCUUCUGUGAUGUUGAAGAUGAAUGGAUCCAGUUCAGCUAACAAAGAUAAAGAAGUGUUCUGCCUUUUACAGGGCUGUUGGUCAUUCUCAGGAUAAGAGAGUAAAUCCUUUUCAGUCAGUAACUAUCUAUUGUGUUGACUCCAACCUUCUUAAGCCAGACAGUUAUGAGUAACAGUGAUGGGUCCUUAGAGAACAGUGAAAAGCCAGACUCACUAAGCAUUCAAUAGCCUUGGGUGGUAUACAAGGGAGUAGGACAUUAAGCAACCAGUGGAAUGUUUUUGUAUUUGAAUUGGUCUUAGGUGUUGGGUUACACACUGUAAAAUGAAAAUGUAUUCAAAUCAUAGAAUCUCUUAUAGUCAGUGUCUUAAGUAACUUAAUAAUUACUUUCCUACUAUAUGAAUGACUGAAAGAUUAUUCUAUGGCAUUUUCCUUUAUGUCUAUUUAAACUUUUUAUGGAAAUAUUUAGACCUACAUUAAACUACAGAGGUAUAGUAUAAUGUAUACCAUGUACUCUUUACUCUGCUUCAAUAAUUAUCAAUAUUUUGACAAAUGCUGCCAAGUUUUUUUUAUUAUUUCUCAUACAUUUUAUCUAAUAUUUUAAAGCAAAUAUCAAACUUGUUAUUUGAAAGUUAUUCAGUGUGCAUCUCUAACUGAUAACUAUUUUGACAUAAUGAGCAUGCCUUUCUCAUACCAUAGAUUCUUAGUAUCAUCUAUUAUGCAUUUCACCAGUUGUGCCACAAAUACCCAUUUACAGUUAGUUUGUUCAAAUCAAAAUCCAAACAAGGUCCCCACAUCACUUUUGGUUACUAUAUUUGUAUAUAUUAUGGUUUGAUUAUUUGGUUAUUAUAUCUAUCAGAAAAACACUUUGUUUUAUGUUUUAUAACCGGGUUGUCACACCAUUUUCUAGUUCUAAUGCAAAAUCAUAACUCAUUCAACAUUUAUUUAACUACUGUAUAAUGAACAAUUACUAUGUACAGGACAGUGUACUACUAGGUGCUGACUGUGAUUCAAAGACGUCUGUAAAUCACGGUCCCUACCCCCAAGACUUUACCAUGUGAGGAAAAUGAAAAAUAAAAAUGCAUAAAUAUAAUGACAACAACAUGGCAGCAUAGCUUAAUUAAGUAGUAUAGGGACUAACAUUUCAAAAGCAGAAGUAUGGUUUGAAAGAUGAGGGGCGGCCAUUUUGGAAGAGUUAGCAUGUGAGAUGGAUGAGUUACAGUGAUCGGCAAUUCAAGAGGAAUUUGGAUUGGGAGAAGGGUAAAAAGAGAAAGCUCAAUCUGUGAUAGAAAAAUGUUCAUUCUAUAGAUUUUAAGAGGGAAAAAGACAUAAAUAUUAGAGGUGUGGAAAGUGAGAAAUAUAUUCAAGAAAUUAUAGGUAAAAUAAUUCAGCAGAAGCAGAAUAUUUAUGAAAGAGAUAUGCCUAAAAGAUAAGUAGGGGACAGCUUUGGGCAGAUAUUGAAUGGCAAGCUAAAUAGCUUGAACAUUGUCCUCUAGAACAGGCAGCCACUAAGCUAUAUUCAUUUUUCCAUAUAUGAGAGACUGUAGGACAUUAUAUAAACAUAGAUAUUUAAUUAGUAACCAAAAUGCAUCAGCUCAUUUCAUAAGGGAACUUAAAAAACUGUGUAUGUAUUCCAAUAGCAAUCAUUUUCAAAUAUUUAUAGCAAAUUGGCAAGAUAAUUUAAUGUUUUAUUUUGCCCAACAGCUAGAUGCUCCACUUAGAGGAAUACAAACAAAUUGGAGCUGAUUUAACCAGCACCUACUGUACAGCAGCUGAGAGACCUUCAUAAAGCAAGGAUUAGUUGUUUGUAGCACAUUAAGACAACAACAACUGCUCAACACAUUUAAUAUAGGAGAGGCAGAAGAUAACUCUAUUAAAGAUAGAUAUAUUAGCUCUGCAAACCUCAAACUCGAAACUUUUCAUCUGUUAUAAAAAUACAGUGAAGUUUAUAAAAUAAUCUGUUUUCUGCUUAUUAGCUAUAAAUAUAUAUGUUGAACUAUAAGUUCUCUCUUUACUAGAAUAAUGCUAAUUGAUUUUUACUAUUUAAAGAUCCUCAAAUGACAACUGAAUUAUCAAAGUCAUCAAAGAAAGUGUAUGUUGAACAUAAUGGAGCUUUAUUGGUAAGUGGUGUUCUUGUAUGUUUAUUCAAUAAAUGAUGAUCUAGAUAUUCUAUGUCACAUAGGUUUUUAAAACAUUUUUGAGUGUCCACACAUAUACCAGCCUUUGUGCUAGGCCUUUUGAAGAAAUAAAAUUGUGCAUGAGAUGUGGUCCUAGUAUUUCAAAGACUUGUAUUCUAGUACAGAUGAUUAACACAUACAUAUAGAAGUAAAAUUAUAGGCAGGUUUGAAAUAGAGGUGUAAGAUUGAAUUAGGUUAGGAUUUUUCAACAGCAACACUAUUGACAUUUUGAAUCAGAUACUUCUUAAUGGUGGAGAGCCAUCCUAUAUAUUGUGGAGUAUUUAGCAGCAUCUCUGACCUCUAUCCAUUAGAUGCCAAUAGCAUCUCCCCAGUUGUGACAACCAAAAAUGCCUCCAGACAUUGCCAAAUGUCCCCUGGGAGCUGAGUACAAAAUUGCAUGCCAUAUUGAGCCACAAGAUUAGAUGGAAAGUCCUAUAUACAUUUUGUUAAUGAAAAUAGCUUCCAUUUGAGGAAUCAAGGAAAGUCCAUAAAGGUAUGAGGACUAGUACGAGUAGGUUGAGAAGAGGAGAGCAUUUCAGGAACAGAGAAGGUGGUUAAACUCUAGAUGGGGAGACAAAUUAAUAAGUAUAAAUUAUGUUCAGGAGUCAUAGAAUUCAGAGUUUUAGAAGUGAUUAGUAAAUAAAAACUGAUACAGUAAAUAGAAAUCAAAUUAUGGAGGUUCUUGAAUGUAAAGAGGAUGUUUCUCAUUUUGUAGAGAUGUCACUUGAACAUGUAAAUGAAAUGAAUAAAGAAUCAUUUUCAAAAUGUUAUAAUGGCAGUUCUGAGCAGAAUGAUUUGACCAUACAAAAAAGUUCAUUUUAGGUAUAGGAAUCCAUUAAAAACAUAAUUUGGAAGAAACUGGGGAAUAUUGUAGGAAACAUAUUUCCCAGCAUAGGAUAAGAAAGGAAGACAAGUUAAAAAGUUAACUCUAUAAUUUUCUUCUAUGUUUGAUCUUGGAAAUUGUUGUUGAGAUUGUUUUUUUGUAAUACAGUUGAUACCUGAUGCUAGAGCUGAUUGAGAAAUUGACUCAGAUUCUCUGGGACUCCAUGAAGUGGAAAGUUGUAACUGAUGAAUUAGAACGUUUGGAUGAAAUGACCAUUCCUACGGAAAAGCCACUGGAGACAAACUCAGAAUCCAGACUCACAUUCAGAUGAUUUGUGUUUUCCCCAUAACCACCCUCCUAGAUUCAGAUACUUCCCUCCAAAUACAAUCCUGUUCACCAUGGAAGACAUUAAAACCUUCAGGGGUUGCUGCUGGGGGCCUUCACCACAAUGCAGCUAUUCACGUUUACUUUUGCUCUACCUGCAAAAAAUGUUCAUGGGCUCACUCCCAAAGUCAACUUUGAUCCAACGAUAGUCUUCAGUUACCAAACCUUAUCACACAUCUGUAAAACUGGAUAAUAAAGAAGGGUUUAAAAUAUGUACUUUUUUGUAUUUCUUUCUACUAGUCUCAUUUCUCAUUAGCUUAAUAUAAAGCUUAACUAACUCAAGAGGCUAGAAUAACAGUAAAAGUAAUUGAAUUUUUCAGUCACCAUGUCAUUUUAUAGACUAUUAUAUCAGCACAUAGUUUUGCUAUCCCUUUGAAUUGAUAGAAAUUAAUUUAAAAAUUUCCUACUGGACAUUUUAAAAUGUGUAUUGACCCACAAACCUGUAAAUGGUUGAAAGUACUAUUUGAGAGAAAUCAUUAACUCAGGUGUAGGAAUAUAGAACAACUACAAUAUUAUAUUUGACAAAGCAAGAUCUGUAAAAUAUAUUUUCAUUGACAGUAAGUAAAAAUAAUGUGGACUCUUACAAAGAAAUUUGAAAUUUAUCAGAGAAAACUUUGCAGAGAAGUAAAUUUUCACUAUUCACUUCAUCUUUAUUUUCAAGCACAUUCAUCUCUAUUCACAGAUUAGGUAUUCUACACUUUAAAAUUCAGCUUCAUAACAUUAUAGUUUUUCAGUAGUAUCAUUGAUCAUUCAGGUUCAGAACAUAUAAAACUCUUUAAAACAGUGCUGCCCUAAUGCUGCAGAACCCAUUUGCCCAAAAAGCUUAGUAAAUUCCCUGCAAUCACUUCUAGGGCUUUAUCUUUCUUUGAAAAGUUGUGUUUUCUCAAACUGGGGCCAUUUCUACACAAGGUAUGUCUCUUUCUAUUAAGUGAAUGCUGAAUUGUGUAUCUUUUUUGACUAGUGACACUGAAGUCUUAUUUUUCUUCUCUUUACUACAAAAUGAAAAAAAUUGAAUGCUAAUAUUUAGUCUUCAAUUAUAUACGGGCAUAUGGUAGUGUAAGAAUAUAUGCCAAAUUAUAGAUGCAAAGCUGCCUGAAUAUGUUGUGUUGCUUAAAUGAUGUUUGGGACAUGAUUCCUUCUCUGUUGAGAAAGAAAAAGGGUCACCUUAUUAUACUUAAAGGCGCAGUUUUGUUUGGUUCUACGGUGGGAGAAGUGAGCCUUUGUUAUCUGGGCAUUCAAGUGAGAAAAGUUUAGAUUACAGCAAGUAAGUGAAAAAUCACACAUGCCCUAAUGAAGAACAGCAAAUGAAUUUCUCUGUAAUUGUGGCUCUCAGCAGGACAAUAUGGACAAUGCUAUCUCUACAAUUUCAAGGACAUUUAAAUUAUCGAGUUGAUUAGAAUAUAUUAAGAAUUAGUAGCUAAAAUAUUUUUCUCACCUUCAUUGUUUUUAACAGUUCAGACUUGACUGAUUGUACUAAUUAGACAAGAAACUCUAUAGCAAAACUGAAAAACUUUCGUGUCUAUUACAUAUGUCCUUGAGAUCACAAGAAGUUAUAUUUGCCUGUUUUCAUAAGUCCAUGGUGUAGUUUUACAAAAUAACCUGCAAUAAUAGAAAAUAACCCAAAUCCUGUGUGGUUUAGACUAGUAGCCAAUUGAUAACCACAUACAACACAACACAUACAGUAUGGAAGUAUGCAUACAAUAAGUACUACAGAAAUUCAGAAGUGAGAGCUAUCCCUAAGGAAUGGAGAAAUCUAAAAAGACACACAGCAGGGAUGGAACUUAGUACAAAGGGAGACAGAGCCUUUUCGACAGGCACUGGUUGGUCAGUGGAGAGGGGAUGGAUCCAUAGUGUUUGAGAGUAAGCAAAGUGAUGAGUAAAGUAAUUGGUUUGGAAUACAGGAUUCAUUUACAUAAGUAAGAGAAGAUGAGGUUGAAGGGGUACCUAGGAGACAAUUGCAGGCUCCCCUGCAGCUGCGGAGUUUGGACAACAGGGAGAUAUUUAUUUAACAUAUACAUGUGUGCCUGCUACUUGAGAGAUGUUGCAGUGGGUACUAGCUAGACAUCUCUGAAAAAAGAUAUUUGAGUUUGGAGAGUGUGAGGAAGAUGAACUUCACUGGGAAAUACAGAAUAGAUUACAGUGAAGAUGAGCCAGUUUAAGUAGUAUUGGGACAGCUCAGGUGAAAAAAAAACAAAAAACAAAAGUUACACAUGUAGCAUUGGACAUGAACUGAAGACAAAGCACGUAAGAAGUUUAUGGGAAGAGAUUAGACUGAAUGGCUGAUAAUGAGGGAAUAGAAACAAAGUUCAGCAGGUAAGCUUGUUGGCUCUUGGAAAGGAUUAUGCUUCAGGAUUUAAAGAAUAUGCAAUGCAGUUCAGAUACUAACAAAGCAAGUUAGGUCAAAUUACACAGGUUAAGGGCACAGACCCCACAAGACUGCCCUCACUUGAGACUGCAGUCACAGGUCUGGAGUUCCCAGGCCACCCAUACUUGGGACCAACUGGCUAUAUUUUUUGAGGUUCUCACUACCCCCUCAGGUUUGAAAAUUCACUAGAACAACUUACAGAGUUCAAUAAAUUAUAUCAACACUUCAGAAAAUUCAGAAUUACAGUUUUGUUAGAAAGGAUGAAAAUCAGGACCAACCAAAUAAAGAAAUGCAUAGGGCAAGAUCUGAGAGGCUUCCAAACUUGAAUCACCCAUGUCCCCAGAAUGCAUCACCCACUUGGCACAUCCAUGUGUAUCAACAACCAGAAAAGUGAACUGAGCUUCAUUGUAUCGAGUUGUUGUUGGAGCUUCAUUAUGUAGGCAUGACCGAUUGAUUCAUUGGCCAUAAAGUUGAACUCAAAAUUCAACCUCCUUCUUCUAAGCCAGAAGUCAGGCCAAGAUCACAAGGCUCAAAGCCCCAACCCUGUAAUCACAUGAUAGGACUUUCUGGCAUGGCCACCACCCAUCUUUACUCAUCUAAUCAGCAUAAACUAUCUAGAGGCUCUCCAUAAGUCGUCUCAUCAGCAUAAACUCAGGUGUUUAUGCUGAUAAAACAUAAAUAACAAACACUCCUAUCACAUGGGAAAUCCAAGGAUUUGGAGGCUUCCACCCAAAGACCAGAGACAAAAACCAGCCAAAUUCUUUAUUACACAACAGAAUGAAUCUGAGGUAACAUUAGCUCUUUCAGGUGGAAAUUCCAGCAGGCAGAUGAAACUCCAAAAACAAACUGAAGAGAGAAAAAUGAAGACUAGAGAUGUGGCUUCAGCCACAAAGUAAAAGGUCACAUGAUAUAUAAUUCAUUGUGCAUAGCUACUCAGCAAGGGCUGCAGUUGAGGGAAGAGUCCUUGACAAGACAGUAUGCAUAGGAAAAGCCACCCAAACAUGGACAGCAUAUUUUUUCUAAAUAAAGCAACUUGUAGCCUGAUACAAACUUCAUCUUGAAUAGAAAUAAUUCUUUUUGCAUCUCUUUUCUUAACCGAAUGUCUAGAAUAUGUAUCUUUUAUGAGCAGAUAAAACAAUCUCUAAAAAAAGUGUGAUCUUAAAAAAAUAUGUAAAUCCAAAGUUACCAUAGCAGUGACUUAAAUACUUCAUUCUUGUUAGACAAAUACAAAAGUAAUGAGGUCAAAAGUUAUUAAUGCGCCCUGUAUUUUCUGCAUUGCGGACUAGUGGAAACUUAGCUGUAAUUUGCCCUAUUUGACGUGUUCUCAUUUUAAUUCAAUGUCACAGAAUACUGCAGUUUUCAGCUAACAAACAAUAGAAGACCAACCAGUCUACCCUCUGUACCUGCAACAAUACCCACAUGUACCUACCUCUGAAGAGGAUUUUAUCCAAAUUAAAAAUACGAUUUUUUAUCUUGCUCUGCAACAGUGGCAAAAUUAAAAACGAUAUAAAAUAUAUAUUUCUAUUUAGGCUAUUUUUUGUUUAACCUUUGAAUGAUCAGAGGUGGAUUCCAGGAGGAAUAUGACUUCCUUUAAAGUAUAUCUAUAAAUAGAAAAGGAAUAUGUUGUACGACAAAUUAUAAUUUAUAAUAUAUAAUAUAAUAUAUUGGAAUUUUGCUUCUCUAUAAUUCUAUAAUAGAUUAUGGACAUCUGACAAAUACAGAUGAACAUUUCUGUUAUUUCAAAUUAAUAAAUGCAAUAUUAUAUCCAUGUGUUCACAUAAUGAAAAUGUAUAUGCAUGCAAAUUAUUCACAGUUGCAUGGUUAAGAGUUACUAGAAAGCUGUUUAAGAAAUAAACCAUUUCUACAACAUAUUAGAGUGCUUAGUUUUAAUCACAAUGAGAACUUUCAUAGGCAUUAUCUGAUGUGUCAGUCUGAAUCCUGUGAGAAGCAGAUUCCAAGACAGAAUUAGAUGUGUAAGUGAUUUACUGGGAGAAAUACCUGCAGAGAAUAAAAAAGAGGAGCAGGAACAGGAAAACCCUCCAGUUUCUAAUGCAAGUCUGACAUCUGUGAAAGGAGAGAAGAAAAAAAAAAGAGAGCUUGGGUAGGGUGAACAAUACAAUCCAAAAGCAAAGAUGGGCUCUCAGCUGAGCGCUGUGUCAGGCAGGAAUUGCCUGGCCCUAGUCGCUCUGCUGUCCCCAGGCUGUUCCUAGGCUAGGGACAGCCCAGGAGGAGCAUGAACUUUACAUGAACACUGUGAUGCAUCCAAAAAUGUAGCAACUAGAGGCUAUUUGCCAACUAUUCUUGCAGCAGAUUAUCUUGCAGGGGAUAUCUGCGUGGUACACUUCCAUGACCACCACAGUCCAUCUCGAAUGUCUCAGAGUCUCUGCACACGUUUUUAGGAAGUAUUCCCUCAUUCCUGUGGGUCACUCUCCCUGAGAAAAAUUCUGAAAGAGGAAGGUUUGGAGGACAAAUUACAACCCCAUCUCUGUAGUUAGUCCCAGAGGUCCUGUUAGUUUACCUGGUGACGUGACCCGGAUACUCAUUCCUGACAGGUCAGCCCGAGGUAAUCAUACUUUCUCAAACUAGGAUUGCUGCACAUGUCAAUUAACCAUUAAAAUUGAACAAGAGACUCCCACAAGGCUUCAAAGUAGAUCACCUGGAUUCCACACGCAUACCUCUAUCUGCUUACGGUAAAAGCACACUUACCUCAUUCGGGAGAUCAGGUUCAAUUUCUUCUGCCAGGAUGAUGACUUCUCUUCUCUCCUGCUGUCUUCUGGAUACAAAGUUUAAAACGCCCAGGAGCAGCUCUAUACUGUAGUUUAACAGGAUCUCUGCUGUUUCCUGUGGCAAGAGUUUGCCCCUUUUGCAGACUGGGACCUCCAAAUGGGUCAUUAGGAGAAAUGGCGGAUGGUUAGGGUGCCAUUUUUUUCUCUAGCCCUUGGUUCUUGGGCCCAUACAGCCUUCCUAUUUAGACCUCUGACUUAGUGCAUAUGUUGUGUCCUAACAUAUACCAACCCACCCUUGCCCAGCAUUGCCAUCAAGGUGGCACUCCAACUGUGCCAUAGAAGUGCCUUCCAGCAUUAUGGGACACCAGCUGCCUCUGGGUGUUGUGGUAUGUGAUUCAAUCAGUAGCCCAAUUUUGUACCGUAUUUGUAAUGAAGUAGUUCCUCUUGUUGGAUGUUAUGUUACAAAUUCCAUGUCUGUGGAUCAACCUUUUAUUAGGCAAAUGGUGCUGACUUAAGGUCUGUGGGAAGAAAACUCAAAGCCAUAAGUAUUACCCCUACUCAUAAUAAGAGUAUUUCUAUCCCUGUGAGUGUGAUCUCCUGGUUCUUCUAUAAGGGAACAAUUCCAGCGUAACUGAAUUGUCAACAGGUGUCCACUUGGUAUUUGUUGUUGGAAGGCUGAACAUUCAGAGGUGCCAAUAGCUGGAUCAGCCUCAGUUAAGUGGCCAUAGGGCCAGUGUAUGGCCCCCAUCUAGGCCACUGUGGCUAGGCUGUUCAUCUGCCCAUCAUGCCAUCUCUGGAGGGUCUAUGAAAAAGGCCUUCUGAAGUCAUUGGCCAAAUCAUUUUGUCUUCUUGGUUAUUCAGGACUUCUGCUGUAAUAGGCAACUUCUUGGCAUUGACAGAUGAUACAAAAUUCUUCAAACUUUGUAUCCUCUCUCAUAUGUCUUUCUGCAUACUUCUUCCCCAGACCUCUUUUUCUUUAGUAUUCUAAUCUUUUUCUUUUCCAGUGUUAGGCCAUUGGCUUCUGGCCAAGAAUUUGUAUAUGUUUUCACCUCAUGACACUCUUCCUUUCCCACAGAGUAGAUAACCAGGUGCCUAACUUGCAGCUCCACCCAUUAGGAAAAGUUUUUCUCUCCACUGUGUUUUAAAGCCAUCCCUGAAUGUGACUGUAAUGCAACCACUACCAAUUUUCAGUUCACCCCCACAUAUCAUACUGACCUAUUCAUAAGCUAGACAGGCUAUUUUCCCUUCUUCAGCUGGUCAUAGGGGACAACCUCUAUCAGGCCAUAUGUGCAAGCUGGAGCACAGGCAAUGAAGCAAUUGUAGUGGGUAACAUGAACCCCAAAAGGGCUACCUGCUUAUGUUUCAUACUCCUGCCCUCUGGUCCUGCUCAGGCUCAAUCCAUGAUGUAUUAUUUCCGUCUUAAAAUACAUGGAAUGCUAAUGGACCCAUUCAACUUUAUGAUUUCUGGGUCCAACAGAAUCCAAUUUUUAAUGAGUAAUACUGAGUGGAAGGUCACCUGUUACUCCAUGGGCAACAGUAUGUCUCUAUGAGGGCUCAGCAACACAGCAGGAGCUGUUUCUCAGAAGGCACAUAUUCUUCUGCCACAGAUGGCUCCAGAACUCCAGAGACUUGUGUUAUAAUGUUCCCACUAGGGCUUAUAAACACCACACUGCAUACUUACCCACCACUGACAUUUCCAACACUAUAGGAUUUGCCACAGAACUAGAGGAAACUUUAGAGUCUAUUCUUGCUGCAUUGUUACAGCAUCCUUCCUCCUGGAACCCAUAUCUUUUAUUCAAUGGGCAUUAUACCAGAAAAUUUGUUCGAAUCCAGGAAUUGAGCAAGGGAUCAUGACUUUUAAUAAGAGCUACUGCCUUUAGACUCAUGUUCCUUCAUUUUUACCUUCUUCUGUUUGUAGAUGUAAAACAGUUCCCUCAUUGACUGUCCAUCUAAUUUUAUCCUAGAGAUGCCAAAGCAUCCCCCCAUAAUUUCUUGCAAGUCAAGUCCUCAUGGCUGCCCUUACAAUCCUGCCAGUCAUUAUAGUAACUGUAAUCCCCCGGCUUCAGGCAAUCAAACACCUCCAAACUCACUCUAUUUCUUUAGGUCCCAUUAUUCCCUUUGCUAUUAACAAAGUCAGUUCUGUGAACACGUAUCUGACCAUCAGCCCUGGCUUGCAGAGGAGAGCUACCACUGACGUUCUUGGUGAUGUAGAUGCCCCUAUCAUAUUCUCAUUCUUGACCUUAAUUAAUGGUGUGUAUUCUGGGCUCUUCCAUACAAUAUAAUCCUGUUUGGUUUUCGGGUCUUACAUAAUACAGCCAUUCAAGCAUGCUCACUUCCUGCUGGGGAAACUCAGGCAUUUCCACUUUGUUUAGAAUGGACCCUCACUUUCUCCAGGCUUCUAAUUGCCCCUCUAACACUGUGUUUGCAUUAUCCCCUAUGGUCUUUGCUGUAGUGUUAAAUCUUUUGUUCCAAUAAAAGAUACCCCAGUCGAUGAAGAGAGCUUUGCAUAUUCGGACUUACAUUCUGGCUUACUUGAUCAAGCAAUCUCAAAAUCCAAUCUUAUCGGCACUCUCUUGAAUUCAUCUGGUACAUGUUAACAAAUUUUUGCAGUUCCUUCAGAUAUAAUCUCUUUCCUCCAUUGUCAGGUUCAGCAUGUUUCUAGCCAGGUUACACUGAGAUUUAACGCUAUUGACCCAACAGCCAAAAAGUGGAGGUUAGGCAACUCCUGAAGGGGUGUCUGUUGCCUUACAGAGGAGAGAACUUCAUAGUGUCCUCAAAGAUAGGGGAAGCCCCUAAUAGAUGUGAACACCUUUGCAAGCAGUUAAGGUUUAAAGAAGUUUACCAAGCUACAUUAGUUUUUAUUUCUGUGUAAUAAAUUACAACAAGCUUAGCAACUUAAUGCACGUUUAUUAUCUUAAAGUUCCUGUAGGUCAAAAGUGUAGCUCUUAGCUAGAUCCUCUGCCCAAGUUCUCAUAAGGCUACAAUCAAAAUGUUGCUGGGGAAAAAAUCCACUUCCAAGCUCAUUCAGGCUGUGAUGAAUUAUAUUCUUCUGGCUGUAUAAAUGAGGUCAAAGCUUCUUACUAGCUCUAUGGUGAAGCUUUUUUCAGGUGAUAAAGAAUACCUAAAUUCCUUCUCAUGGGAUCCCCUCUGUAAUCAGUUCAUUGAUGGCUAUUUGCUUCUUCAAGGUUAGCAAGAGAAACUCUCUUCCAAUCUGUUAAAAUGAGAGUCUUACAUAAAUGAAACAUAGCCACAGGAGUGACAUCUUACCACUUUUGCCAUGUUCUGUUAUGAUUACAAGCAAGUCAGAGGUCCUACCCACACUAAAACAGAAGGAAUUAUACAAGAACAUGGAUCAUUGGGGGUUACUUUAGACUGUGUUCACCACAAGUAUAAAAAUAUUUCAGAGCAUCCACCCAGAUGUCUCAUCCAAUGUUUCAGUGGGCCAGAUUUUCCCUUAUUGGAACAGACCUCGUUUGGCUGUGUAUUUAAAUGUCUCCGGAGCUCUUAAUUGAGAGCUAUUAACUGUGGGAUCUUUAGCCUGUUACUCAGCUGUGUCAGCUCUUUCACUGAAUGAGAUAAGGGUCUCUUUCUAAGCUACCAAAAAGUCCUCUGCUCUCAUGUCUAUCUAUUAACUACUUGCUACCCACAAUUAGUUUUCAUUUCUAGUUUUCCCUUUACAGGAGUCAAUACAACUUAGUAAUAAAUGUACGAUUCCGUCAUCCGUGUAGGCAUUGUUCUUCCCUAUAUAUUUCAAAUGACUGGAUUAUUGUACUGGCAAGGGAAUUCCCCUCCACCGGGAUGUUUUCUAGGUUAUGAGUGGAUGCCUUUUCAACAAUUAGACCUCCAUCUUGUGCCAGGGAUUAUCUGUGCCCCACAUUCUACUUAGGCCGGUGUCCUUCAUGCCAGCUGGACAGUAAGCAAUGUAGUCCCCAACCCCGUUAUACUGCAUCCUUUCUCGAACUGCUUCUGUAUUAACUGGGUCACUUCGAGUCCUAUGAGAAGCAGAUUCCAAGGGAGAGGCAGAUGUGCAGGAGAAUUAUUGGAGAUACA